UACGGGGGGGGCAAGCGUUGUUCGGAAUUACUGGGCGUAAAGGGCUCGUAGGCGGCCAACUAAGUCGGAUGUGAAAUCCCCAGGCUUAACCUGGGAACUGCAUCCGAUACUGGAUGGCUUGAAUCCGGGAGAGGGAUGUGGAAUUCCAGGUGUAGCGGUGAAAUGCGUAGAUAUCUGGAGGAACACCGGUGGCGAAGGCGGCAUCCUGGACCGGUAUUGACGCUGAGGCGCGAAAGCUAGGGGAGCAAACGGG
rnacentral:rRNA from 1 species